rnacentral:snRNA from 1 species
AUACCUACCUGGAAGGGGAGAUACCAUGAUCACGAAGGUGGUUUUCCCAGGGCGAGGGUUAUCCAUUGCACUCUGGAUGUGUUGACCCCUGCGAUUUCCCCAAAUUUGGGAAACUCAACUGCAUAAUUUGUGGUAGUAGGGGACUGCAUUUGAGCUUUCCCCUG